GACGAACGCUGGCGGCGUGCUUAACACAUGCAAGUCGAACGAAGUGGCGAACGGGUGAGUAAUAUGUGGGUAACCUGCCCUCCUUUUUGGGAUUAGCUUUUGAAACGGGGUCUAAUACCGACUAAAGGGUGAUGGGCUCGCGGCCUAUCAGCUUGUUGGUGGGGUGAUGGCCUACCAAGGCGGUGCCGGGUAGCCGGCCUGAGAGGGUGACCGGCCACAUUGGGACUGAGAUACGGCCCAGACUCCUACGGGAGGCAGCAGUGGGGGAUAUUGCACAAUGGGCGAAAGCCUGAUGCAGCGACGCCGCGUGUAUGAAGAAGGCCUUCGGGUUGUAAAGUACCAUCGAAAGGGGUCCGUUACCGACAGAAGAAGCACCGGCUAACUCCGUGCCAGCAGCCGCGGUAAUAC
rnacentral:rRNA from 1 species